ACCCAAGGUGCAUGCCGAGGGGCGGUUUGCCUCGUUAAAAGCCGCAAAAAAAUAGUCGCAAACGACGAAAACUACGCUUUAGCAGCUUAAUAACCUGCUUAGAGCCCUCUCUCCCUAGCCUCCGCUCUUAGGACGGGGAUCAAGAGAGGUCAAACCCAAAAGAGAUCGCGUGGAUGCCCUGCCUGGGGUUGAAGCGUUAAAACUAAUCAGGCUAGUCUGUCAGUGGCGUGUCUGUCCGCAGCUGCCAGGCGAAUGUAAAGACUGACUAAGCAUGUAGUACCGAGGAUGUAGGAAUUUCGGACGCGGGUUCAACUCCCGCCAGCUCCACCA
rnacentral:tmRNA from 1 species